rnacentral:siRNA from 1 species
UUCCUAAGGUUUUGGUAGUGCCA